rnacentral:tRNA from 1 species
GGCCCCAUCAUCUAAUGGCUUAGGAUAUCAGGUUCUCAUCCUGAAAAUUCGGGUCCGAAUCCCGAUGGGGUCA